rnacentral:rRNA from 1 species
UAAUACCGCAUACGUCCUACGGGAGAAAGCGGGCCUCUACACUAUGCUCGCACUCGAGGAUGAGCCCACGUCCGAUUAGCUAGUUGGUAGGGCAACGGCCUACCAAGGCCACGAUCGGUAGCUGGUCUGAGAGGAUGAUCAGCCACACUGGGACUGAGACACGGCCCAGACUCCUACGGGAGGCAGCAGUGGGGAAUAUUGGACAAUGGGCGCAAGCCUGAUCCAGCAAUGCCGCGUGUGUGAAGAAGGCCUGCGGGUUGUAAAGCACUUUCAGUGGGGAAGAACGGAUACGGGCCAAUACCCCGCCAUCACUGACGUUACCCACAGAAGAAGCACCGGCUAACUCCGUG